rnacentral:lncRNA from 1 species
CAAAUGCUAUUAUCAUGAAUGACCAAUUAACCAAGCACAGAUGCAAUCAUGUAUAACUGGAACUACUCCUCAUCAAGAAUGUGUUUCACUCAAGCACACAAGUGUAUAUUGAGGUGACUCAUUCUCUCUACUAUCACAAUGUCACAUAAAUUAACUUUGCCUUUCAUUUAACCAUAAUUAAUCAUACUCACAAGCAAGUUAUAAUCACAAGGACUUUCCAUGGCUUAUAAUGAGGCUGGGCUUAACCAAGAAAAAUUAGUUUUUCUAGAUCACAAAAUCCUUGAGUUAAGAGAGUUAUUUGAAAAUUUAUCAUUCAAGCACAAACUCUCUUUAAAAAACUAAUCUCACUCAUUCCCAACUUUUCCCUUUUUGCAUUGAGCUUAUCUUUUUCUUUCAUUCUUUCUUUUCUAUCUUUUCUAUCUUUUCAUGUUUUGCUCAACACAUUAGCUCAAUACUUAUCUUUUCUUUUUCAACUUUCCUAACAGCCCCAAACUUGAACCUUUAUCAAUACCACACAAUAAUUCU